rnacentral:rRNA from 1 species
AUUAGGAAUCUUGUGCAAUGGGCGAAAGCCUGACACAGCGACGCCGCGUGAGGGAGGAAGGCCUUCGGGUUGUAAACCUCUUUUGACGAGGAAGAACACAAUGACGGUACUCGUCGAAUAAGCCCCGGCUAACUCCGUGCCAGCAGCCGCGGUAAUACGGGGGGGGCGAGCGUUGUCCGAAGUUACUGGGCGUAAAGCGCGUGUAGGCGGGUUGUUAAGUCCGCUGUGAAAGCCCGGUGCUCAACGCCGGAGGGUCGGUGGAUACUGGCAGUCUUGAAGUGGCUAGGGGGAAAUGGAAUUACCGGUGUAGCGGUGAAAUGCGUAGAUAUCGGUAGGAACACCAGUGGCGAAGGCGGUUUCCUGGAGCUAACUUGACGCUGAGACGCGAAAGCUGGGGGAGCAAACGG